CCUACGGGUGGCAGCAGUGAGGAAUAUUGGUCAAUGGGCGCGAGCCUGAACCAGCCAAGUAGCGUGAAGGAUGACUGCCCUACGGGUUGUAAACUUCUUUUAUCAAGGAAUAAAGUGAGGCACGUGUGCCUUUUUGUAUGUACUUUAUGAAUAAGGAUCGGCUAAUUACGUGCCAGCAGCCGCGGUAAUACGGAGGGGCCGAGCGUUAGCCGGAUUUAUUGGGUUUAAAGGGAGCGUAGAUGGGAUGUUAAGUCAGUAGUGAAAGUUUGCGGCUCAACCGUAAGAUUGCAAUUGAUACUGGCAGGCUUGAGUGCAGGUGAGGCAGGCGGAAUUCGUGGUGUAGCGGUGAAAUGCUUAGAUAUCACGAAGAACUCCGAUUGCGAAGGCAGCUUACUAAACUGCCACUGACAUUGAUGCUCGAAAGUGUGGGUAUCAAACAGGAUUAGAUACCCGUGUAGUC
rnacentral:rRNA from 1 species